rnacentral:rRNA from 1 species
UACGGGGGGGGCAAGCGUUGUUCGGAAUUACUGGGCGUAAAGGGCUCGUAGGCGGCCAACUAAGUCGGAUGUGAAAUCCCCAAGCUUAACUUGGGAACUGCAUCCGAUACUGGAUGGCUUGAAUCCGGGAGAGGGAUGCAGAAUUCCAGGUGUAGCGGUGAAAUGCGUAGAUAUCGGGAGGAACACCAGUGGCGAAGGCGACUGCCUGGGGAGUAACUGACGCUGAGGCGCGAAAGCUGGGGGAGCAAACGGG